UUCCUUACAACUUUAACAAUAAUAAAAGUAACAACAGUCACUACUAUUAUAAGUAUUAAUACUAUUAUAAUAAUUAACUUGAUUGAUCUCUUCUGAUGCUUCUCAGCCUAAGAGGAAGAGAGAGAGGGAGGAACAAAGAAAGUAGCAUAAAGUGUGUGAGAGGUAAGGAAAAAAAGAACACUGUAUGUAGUGUUACUUAAAACUGAAAACAUGGAAGGAAACACAAAAGUUUAAUUACAAAGAAAAUUAAGGCAUGACUUUCAAGGAUAAAACAUCAUGAAGUAAGUGGUUUUUUGUCCUGGAAUUUAAUACUGUACAAAAGUUUUAUACAAUACAUAUAGUUGUAUGUACAGCACUUGUAUUACACAAUUCAUUAUAAGGUUUAGAUACAUGUAAUUGCAUAAAUUUUCUAUCCUUGAUAUUAAUAAACUACGUGUACAUACUUGGCUAUUCCAAGUAUGUCAAUAACUGUAUGUGUUAAUGUAUGUUCAUUGUAUGCCAUUUCCGCCAUGAUAGGCACAAAGUCUUACAACCGUGAUCAUUACAGAAAUGAAGUUAUGAACAUAAUCAAAGCAAUGUCACCACCACAAAGCACAUGCAGCGUUUGUCUCUGAUAGUUUUAAAGUAUAUUUUCUAUUUCUGUUGAAUUAAGAAUCAGUCCUCACAUUUUCAUCUUCUUAAAGGUAUUCUGGAUAACAUUAAUUAAAUUUGUGUUUACUACUCACUAGUCAAGCUUGGCUGUGUUGAUAUUCACAAAGCAUGUGGAAUAAAGGUUGGUCCAGUAACUAUUGGCUGUGCAGAUGAUGAGGAGAGAGCUAUCUUGGAUUAUACUAUAAGAAAUGUUCACUUCUUGCUAGUGAAGAUUUUUCAUUAUGCACAGCAGAAAACACAUGCACAUAAAGGAUGGAUGUGAUGAAGAUGAAGAAAAUGAUGCUGCAUGCUCUGUGUUAUUCUAAUAAAUGUAAAGAAAACUAUACAUCAGAGUUGUCAUUGUUUGCUGCGGAUAUUGCAGUUAUUUCUGUGGACCAGAGUACGCUGACAUGGUCCUAUACUGCUACUGGUAGUGCAAGGCCACCAAAAAGCUGUUACAAGCCAAAGUACAAUAGAGGUGUUGGAAGCCUCCCUUACCAACCGGAUUAGGGUUUGGUGGAAUAAUCAAGGAGGAUGUCCAGUUGAUAUCUCUGGUAAAGUGUCCAUUCAUUUUAAAUGCAACAAGCAAUGAACUGGUCUAAUAUAAUAAGUGCAUAUAGCUGUAUAUUUUUAAUGCUUCUUGUUGUCAUACAUAUAAACUUUACUUAUACAUUGCAUUUCUAUCUAUAUGCCACAUAAUCUAUGCCUUGCAAGUUGAUGAUUGAUUCAAUGAAUGAGAAAGAAUGUAACAAAGAAAAGUACAAUGGGGCAUUGUGUUAGGCUAUAUAAAGAGGUACUUUUUGAUGCAGUGAGCAAGUUACAACAAAGAGAAAAUCACGAUGAAGACUCUUGUAUU